UCUAAACAUUUUCAAUGUUAUUAAUUUUUUGAAUAUAAACCCCUAAGAAAACAUAUUCACCUUUAAAUUUGCAAUUUAAAAUCAUUUUUGAAUAUAAGGUUUAGAAAAACCGAGAGGAUUUUAGUUAUCUAAACUAUUAUUAACCUUCAAAGUUGAAAAUAUUCAUUAGGUUAAAGCCUAAAAUUAGUUUAAUAGGUAAUUGACAAAAUUAAUUUCAUAAAUUGAAGAAAAAUUCAUAAACUAGAAAAUGACAAAUCAGUGAAUAGACAAUUACUCAACUUGAGAUUGUAGGUAGCAAAAUGACCAAUUCAGAAUAAGUAUGGAAGUAUGAAGUUGUAAUUGAAGUUGAAGCUAAUAUUCGUCAGGUCGUUGAACUCUAUGACUUGAUGAAUAUGGGAACAUAGUCUGAUAUCAAUGAAGUCAAAGCCGGGAAAAAUGUUCACAAAAGGUAACACACUUCAUAAACACGAUAUGCAAAUUAAGUUCAGAAUGCAAAAGUGAAUGUUCUAGUUGAAUUCAAGAGUGCUUGAAUUGACAAACUAAAAAACGUUCAUAAGAAUGAAAACGUGAAGCAUAGGUUUGAUAGAAUUCAAUAACCAGAAACCAACCAUGAAUUGAUUUAAAUUACGUUAUUACCGCUACGUUGCCGUUGACCAGUUGUCACUGAAUAGGCUGUGUCAAUGUUGCUUAGGCCUUAUUCUGAUCAGUGGACGGCCUCAGUCCCCUCGUUAUGGAUGAACUCUUCCACAGAGUAUAGUGGCUUGAACGCCAGCCUACAUCUCAUCCUUCUCUUGAAGUCAAAGACCCCAGCCUUCUUAUCUCCUCAGGCAGAAGAUUGAAGAGCUUCAGCGCCAACAUUGGAAAUGAUCCCUGAGUCCUUUAAAGUCUACAUCUUGGAUGUCAAGAUUCCUUGCUGAUCUGGUGUGGUGAUGGUGAGUCGCACAUCUUUGAUCGUACCUUCCAAUGUUAUCCUUCACAUGCACAAGGGAGUCAAAUACAUACUGACUGUAGUCUGUUGACUUGGUCAAUAUGUUAUGAGCUGAGAACAGUGGUCAGCAGUGCUCAAUUCUUCCCACAGAUGACAAAAUCCUAACUGCCUUCUUUUGUAGCAGCAAUAUUAUUCUCGUCCCAGCUGCAUGACCCCACAGUAGAAUUCUGUAGGUUACAUGACUAUGGAAUAGGGAAUGAUUUGAUACCAAAUAGUCUGAUGGGACAGCUGUCUUCAAUUUUCUCAUAAGGUAAGUGACUCUGGAAAACUUGUGACACAACUGUGAUAUAUGCUCGUUCCAUGUCAGCUUGGGAUCUAUCCAGAAUCCAAGUAAUUUAACUGAGCAUGUACUUACAGAACUGGUAUUCUUCGAUGUACAUAUUAGGCUUUGUGUUUUGUCCUUGUUCAUUUGAAGCCUAUUUUCUGAACCGGCUUUUAUCUCCAGCAAGGAGUCUAUCACAUUCCACCUGAACCUGUUCUAUACUUCUUUCCCUUGCCAACAGGGUUGUGUCAUCAGCGUACAAGAGAGACUGAGCUCCUAAGUCCAAAUCAUUCACAAGAAUCAGAAAUAACAGAGGGCCAAGCACUGAUCCUUGUGGGACUGCAUGGAGCACAUCAAGCUUAGCUGACUGAGCCUUUUCCACCUCCACAAUCUGCUUUCUGUUCUGCAGGUGCCAAGUACAAAGGAAGAGUGGGAGUUGGUGCAACAUAAAUUUGAAGUGCAGUGGAACUUUCCCAAUUGCAUAGGAGCAAUUGAUGGGAAACAUGUCCAAAUUAAG
rnacentral:misc_RNA from 1 species